CACGCACGCCAACGCUGCGACGUCGCAGGCCCUCUGGGUGAUCCGGGGCAGCUCCUUCCUGAGCGGCGAAGGCGGAGUGGCGCAGAAGCACAACUCCCGUACCUACGAAACUACUUACGCUGUUGUUCAGUGCUUCCCUUUCGCCACCUACCUAUCAGCUCUCAAUAUCACUAAGAUUGACUUGCUAUCGCUGGACGUGGAGGGCGCCGAGGAGAAGAUCCUGGCCACCGUCCCCUGGGAGGACGUCCGGGUGUCCGUCCUUCUGCUGGAACACUACGGGAGCAGCAAGGGAAAGGACCAGCGAUACGUGGACAGAAUAGAAGCCUACGGGUUUCGGCUCUAUGACUACCAUGUCGACAAAGACAAUAUUGGGGAUUACAUUUUCGUAAAAAAAUGAUUUCCUGUUACUAGAUAUGUAAAUAUAAUCAUGGCAAUACUUAUAUAAAGGGGGUAGGAAUAAGAUAUCAACAGCACCAUCAUGAUAAUUAGUUUUUAUUAUUGAUGCCAGUAUUAUCCUCGUGAAUAUUUGUUAAGAAUCCUUCGCCGUGAUAACAUUAUCAUUAUCAGCAGUGAUUACUUACUUUACAUAAUAUGAUGUAGCUGUUACUUCAGUGUGCAUAAACGUUCAUUACAGUAUUGUAAAUACAUCUUCCGGAGUGACA